rnacentral:tRNA from 1 species
GGAGAGAUGGCCGAGUUGGCUGAAGGCGCUCGCCUGCUAAGCGAGUGUACGUGGAAACACGUACCGUGGGUUCGAAUCCCACUCUCUCCGCCA